rnacentral:tRNA from 2 species
GGGCAUGUAGCUCAGAACGGCGCGAGGAUCGCCUCCGCUGCGAGUAACCAGGCUAGAGUAGUGGGCUUUUAACCCAUUGGCCGAGGGUUCAAAUCCCUCCAUGCCCG